rnacentral:rRNA from 1 species
CAGUCGCCGCGGGAAUACGUAGGUGGCAAGCGUUGCCCGGAAUUAUUGGGCGUAAAGGGCUCGCAGGCGGUUUCUUAAGUCUGAUGUGAAAGCCCCCGGCUCAACCGGGGAGGGUCAUUGGAAACUGGGAAACUUGAGUGCAGAAGAGGAGAGUGGAAUUCCACGUGUAGCGGUGAAAUGCGUAGAGAUGUGGAGGAACACCAGUGGCGAAGGCGACUCUCUGGUCUGUAACUGACGCUGAGGAGCGAAAGCGUGGGGAGCGAACAGGAUUAGAGACCCCCGUAGUCCCUGUCUCUUAUAA